rnacentral:rRNA from 1 species
CAGGACGAACGGCUGGCGGCGUGCCUAACACAUGCAAGUCGAGCGAGGUGAUCCCUUCGGGGAUGAACCUAGCGGCGGACGGGUGAGUAACACGUGGGCAACCUGCCUUAUAGAGGGGAAUAGCUCCCGAAAGGGAGAUUAAUACCGCAUAACAUUGAAGUUUCGCAUGAAGCUUCAAUCAAAGGAGUAAUCCGCUAUAAGAUGGGCCCGCGGCGCAUUAGCUAGUUGGUGAGGUAACGGCUCACCAAGGCGACGAUGCGUAGCCGACCUGAGAGGGUGAUCGGCCACAUUGGGACUGAGACACGGCCCAGACUCCUACGGGAGGCAGCAGUGGGGAAUAUUGCACAAUGGGGGAAACCCUGAUGCCAGCAACGCCGCGUGAGUGAUGAAGGUUUUCGGAUCGUAAAGCUCUGUCUUCAGGGACGAUAAUGACGGUACCUGAGGAGGAAACCACGGCUAACUACGUGCCAGCAGCAGC